ensembl:lncRNA
CACACACUCCCGGCUGCCGCCGACCUCCGCAGGGCUCCGGAAUCUAAGUUUGAAACAGAAGGUACCUCUGCUGUCCUUAACCUCCCGGGAUCUUCCGCCCACCCUGCCCAGGGCCUCUUCUGAUGGAGCAGACAGGGCGGCUUCACAGGGGACUGUUCAGCUGCACCUUCAUCUUAAGCAACAUGUGUGCAUUGAUGGAGCUUACCUGGUGCCAAGAGAGUGGUGAAAGGCAUGGAAAUAAGGUUUCCAGUGGAAAGAAUCUCGUCGACCAGCUUGGGACACAUCCUACUCUAACUAAGGGGACAGGUUUUAAAAUUGAAACAUGGUUUCAGGAGGCUUACCCUAUGAAUAGUGUUGGGGGACCACUACCAGGAACAGGUGUCUGCUAUUGAGUGAUGCUGGGCUUCCCUGGUGGCGCAGUGGUAGAAGACCCACCUGCCAAUGCAGGAGACUCGAGUUCAAUCCCCUGGAGAAGGAAAUGGCACCCCACUGCUGUAUUCUUGCCUGGGAAAUCCCAUGGACAGAGCAGCCUGUCUCUGUCCAAGAGGGCUACAGUCCAAGGGUUGGCAAAGACUCGGACAUGACUUAGUGACUAAAUAACAACAACAUAGAGUGAUGCUAUGACCUUUCAUUGGAAGCAUGCUUCUGUAAGAGUUGAGCAUGAGCACACUAUUGUUGAAUGAACGGAUAACUAGGAAGCUUUAAGGCAACCUCGUUAGAGCCCGUACUCUUGUCCCUUUCCCAAACUCCUUCAGUCUCCCAGUUCUAUAAAAACCUGCAAAUGAAGGAAGCAGGAUACACAGUGGUUAUUAGCAUACGUCUGGGUUAAAUUGUCUUAUUUUGGAUCCUGUCCUGGAGGACUUGAGCAAGUGAUGGAACCUACCUGAGCUGCAGGUUUCUCACCUCUAGAAUGGGGAUCAUGAGGAUUAACUAAGAUAACAUGAGUAAAGUGCUCAGAACAAUGCACCUAAUUAUGUUGAAAAAGUGAAGGUGCAGUCGCUCAGUUGUGUCCAACUCUUUUCAAACCCAUGGACUGUAGCCAUGUGUCUCCUGCAUUGUAGGCAGUUUCUUUACUGCUAAACCAUUGGGGAAGCCCUGCAGAUUGGGUCAAAGGAAAGAGAAGCAGAAAGUGGAGUGGGUUCAGAUACCAAACUCAAAUACCAGGCUUCUCUGUCUAUGGGAUUCUGCAAGCAAGAAUACUGGAGUGGGUUGCCAUUCCCUUCUCCAGGAGAUCUUCCCAACCCAGGGAUUGAACCCAGGUCUCCCACAUUACAGGCAGAUUCUUUACCAUCUGAGCCACCAAGGAAGUCCAGUUAUGUUAAGAACAUAAGUUUUAAACAAAAAUUAACUGAUGGAGGGGGCUUCCUGGUGGCCCAGUGGCUAAGACUCUGUGUUCCUAAUACAAGGGGGCUCGGGGUCAAUCCCUGUUCUGGGAACUAGAUCCCACAUGCCACAACAAAGACCCGUUGCAGCCAAAUAAAUAAAUAAAAUAAUUUUUUAAAAGAAUUAGAAAAAGAAAGAAAAUUAACUGAUGGAGCUGAAGUUGACAGGAGCGGAUCCAAAUGUCUUUGAUAAACAGGGCAAAAGAAAGAUGAAUUGUCAGAUGGGCAAGUGGUCAGCUUGGUUCUCCAGAUAUCUCCAGGAACGUGGCCUUUGGAAUAAGAGGUUUGGGGAGAAAAAUAAGCCACGAAGAUCUUAUGGCGCCAACAGGGACUUUAGAGAUCACAGGUCAUAUGCGCCAGUCACACUCCCUUUUGUUCCUAGAGAUUUAAUAUCUACCAGCCUAUUAAAUGGUCAUGAUUUGGAGGAGAGAAGACAAGAAGAGGAAUUACUUUCAGCUGGCCCCGGUCUUUAAAUAACCCGGGGUACAGCAUCUUUCAAACACAAAGGAGACCAUGUGUAAAACAUUAGUUAAAUUCAGAUAUAAAUCUAGUCUUUGACCAGUCCAAAGCUAAUCAAUAUGCUUUUCUACUCUCUUUGAACUUUGCGUUUUCUGGCAACAACGAAAACCCCAAACCCCAUCCAAAACCAUCAUCCAGACAGCCCAACUCCUAUGCUCCCCUCUCUCGUGUCACAUAUUGUUGACAGAACUCCUCUCGUUACCACAUUCAUUCCAGUGGUGAUUCAAAUUCUUCUGCAGAAAUGGACUUGAAAGACAGAAAAUUGCUCUUGUAAUCACUUAAUAAGGAACCCUGGACAAGGAAUACAGGACUAUGAAUAUAGAUUUACUCUUAGCUUUUAUGGACGCAUUUCCCUCGGUUAUUUUCAUUGAAAAUCAUGAUGAACUAAUUUAAAUAGCAAGGUAAACUGAGAUGGAAAAUGAUCCAUAAUAAGAAUUUCGAUGGAAAAUAUAGAUUGGCCUGGUCUUCAGCACAUCAAGGAUUCUCUUGGUUUCAAUUGCAAAUUCGGAGAGAUUUGAAAUGUGUUUGUUUGAAUGUGUCAGUUUUAGGCAGAACUAAACUACGCUGUCCCUUUCCAAAAAUCAAGAAUCUGCCCUGGAAAAAAAUCAUGCAGUAUGAUGUGCAAAGCAGAGGGGGAGGAAAGAAAGUAGUGGGUGAGAAAGACCCACCCAAGGACUGCAGCCAGCUUCCCCAGGAAGAUUCAUGACCACGCUUCAAUCCUGUCCUGUGAUUCUUUCCAAGGGAUUUUACUAUAAAUCACUAAAAGCAACCGCUGCUGUUACCAGAGCUAUCUUUGCCUCAAAAAGAAGAAAAUUCAGGACAUGCAAUAUAAUCCUCUCGCUAUCUAAGAGAGAAACCAGCCCAUUUGUCAUAAGAACUGAAAACACCAGCUAUAUAGUAUAUUAAACAUUAGCGUUUCAUCUUUCAUAAAAGGGGGGGCACGCAUAGGAUGUGAUUGGAUGCAACCAUGAUAAAGGGACUUAAAUUGGAUUGACUAACUAUAACCUACAAAAACCAUUGUAGUACAAAUCCUUUUCAGUAAAAGGUAAGAAAAUUCUAUCAACACUUUUUUUUAACCACUCUGAGCUAUUCACAACAAAUAGAUCCUUACUCUUAGCAGAUGUAUAAGCAUUUAUGUAAUGCAGGGGUUUCAUAACUUGAAGAGUGUCAUCAAAGUCAGAGCUGAUACAGUGUUCCUCCCUUUGACUUGAAUGCCUUCUUCUUCCCUAUAUAGGGUGAUUAUUGCUUCACAGUGUCCCCGGUAUGAAAAGACUUUGAAAGGUCAUUUGCCUUGCAUCCCAACUAGCUGCAUUAGCAUUACCAAGGAGAGGCUGGUUAGAAAUGCACAGUCUUGGGGUCCACCCCAGUCUUACUGGCUCAGCUUCUGCAUUUCGACAGGAUCCCCAGGUGAUUCAUAGGCGUAGUGAAGGUGAAACUGUGCCACCCUAAGCCAUCCUGCUGCCUCUGAGCAAAGCGUGCACAUCGGAAUGGAUAGACUGGUCUGCUUCAGCCAAUUUCAGGUCCUUUAUAGUUUAUCCUGUGUGAGUCAUUGAGAGGAAAGAGGAAAUGCACUCAUUUAAGGAGGUCUUGCUUAGCCUAACAAAGCUAGCAACUUCUUCAAUACAUUCAGGUUCCUAUUCUUGGAAGAACUGCUGCUCUGUGUCCUGUUGCUUGGUCAUGUUGACUCUUUACGACCCUUUGGACUGUAGCCCACCAGGCUCCUCUGUCCAUGGGAUUUUUCAGGCAAGAAUACUGGAGCGGGUUGCCAUAUCAUUCUCCAAGGAUCUUCCUGACUCAGAGAUCGAACCCGAGUCUCCUGUGUUUUCUGCAUUGCAGGCGGUUUCUUUACCGCUGAACCAUUUGGGAAGCCCUGCAGGUUGGGUCAAAGGAAAGAGAAGCAGAAAGUGGAGUAGGUUCAAAUACCAAACUCUAAUAAAGUAAGGGUAGCACAGAAGCUGAGACUGUGAGGGAUGGGGAGAACAGUUUCACCAAAUUACCAGUUCCAAAAUUGUCUCUGCACUGUGGGUGAUUUAUAGCCCUGGAAGCUUAAAGGCUUGAGUCUCUUGCUGUAUUUUAUUUCAGAUUAGGAAUUUUUAUCUAGUACUUUCCUGCAGUUUAAAAUGAAGGCCCUGGAACUACAAAAAUGAAUUUAUCUGGUGGGCUGUGUUCAUUUUGUAGUUAUCCUGUAGGUUUCAGAUUUGUUACAGAACUGGAACUGGACAAUAGAAAAACUCUGUUGGUUAAUGGCAGCCAACUUCUAAACCAAAACUGAAGGACAUAGGAUAAUUAUGUAUAUGUUUCAGUGUCCUCAAAUUUAGCUGCACAUUAGAGUCCCCUAGAUAAAAGGUUUUUACACAGCUUUCUUGAGGUAUAACUGACAUAUAAUAAGCUGUAUAUAUUUUAGGUGUACAGUAGGAAGAAUUUUGAUAUGUUAUACAUCUGUGAAACUAUCACCAUGAUCAAGCUAAUCACCCCUAAAGUUUCCUUGUGCCCCUUGGCAACUCCUCCACCCAUUCUGCGACAACUAAUUGCUUUCUGCCACCAUAGGUUAGUUUCCAUUUUCUAGAAUUUUAAUUUAAUGGAACUAUACUCUUUUUUUUUUUUUUUUGAGGGGGGAGACCUGAUUUCUCUUACUCAACAUAAUUAUUCUGAGAUUCAUCCACAUUGUUGCCUAUAUUACUACUAGUUUGUCCUUUUUAUUGCUGAGUAAUACUCCAUUGUAUGAAUAUACCACAAUUUAUCUUAACCAUUUACCAGUGAAAGACAUUUGGGUUGUUUCCAGUUUUAAACAACUAUGAAUAGCACUGCUAUAAACCUCCAUGAACAAGUAUGAGCAUAUGAGUUUUCAUUUCUCUAGGUAAAUACCUAAAAGUGGGUAUGGUAAGUAUACAUUUAACUCUAAAAGAAACUGCCAAAUUGUUACCCAAAGUGACUGUACAAUACCAUUUUGCUUGCUUACCAGAAAUGUAUGAGUUCCAGUUGCUCCACAUCCUCUCUAGGAAUUGGAUUGGUAUUGUCAGUAUUUCUAACUUUAGCUGUUUGAAUAGAUGUAUAAUUGUAUCUCCAUCGUGGUCUUAGUUUACAUGUUCCUAGUGACUGCUGUGGAGAAGGAAACGGCAACCCACUCCAGUGUUCUUGCCUGGAGAAUCCCAGGGACGGUGGAGCCUGGUGGGCUGCUGUCUCUGGGGUCGCACAGAGUCGGACACGACUGAAGCGACUUAGCAGCAGCAGCAGCAGCAGCAGCAGCAGCAGUGACUGCUGACGUUGAGAAUCUUUUCAUGUGUAUGUUUGCCAUCCUUAUAUCUUUUUUGGUGAGAAUCUUUGAAGUCUUUUGCUUAUUUUUUAAUUGGGUUUUGUUUUCUUAAUUGUUGAGUUUUAAGAGUUCUUUAUGUAUUCUGAAUAUAAGUCCUUUGUCAGAUAUAUGAUUGAUAAAUACUGUCUCUCAAAGGGCAGAAGUUCUUAAUUUUGAUAAGGUUUAAUUUAUAUUUUCUUUAAUGGGUUGUACUUUUGGUGGUAUAACUGACCAAAGAUCACAAAGAUUUUCUUCUAGGUUAUUUUUCUAGACAUUUUAUAAUUUUAGGUUUUAUAUUUAGGUCUAUAAUCCAUUUGGAGUUAGUUUUUAUGUAUGAUGCAAGAUAUGGAAUGAUGUUUACUUUUUGCAUAGGGAUAUUCACUAUUUAUUGAAAUGACUGACCUUUCUCUAUUGAAUUGCCUUUGUACCUUUGUGCAAAAGCCAAUUGACCAUAUAUUUGUGGGUCUUUUCGAAAGUCUCCAUUCUGUUCCACUGAUCUAUCUUUAUACCAAUAUCACAUAGCCUUGAUUACUAUAGCUUUAUUAUUAGUCUUGAAAUCCAACUGUAUUCUUUCUCUAAAUAAGAAGUUUAGAAUUAACUUAAAUUUUACAAUAUUUGUCAACUUCUGGGUUUAAAAAGUCUAAUGGGAUUUUGAUUGGGAUUUGAUUUUAUCAAUCUAUUUGGGAAGAACUUACAGCUUAACAAUUUUAAAUAUCCCAAUCCAAGAACACAGUAUAUCUCUCAUAAGUGUGAUCAUUUUUUAAUCUCUUUUCAGCAAUGUAUUUUCAGUGUACAGGUCUUAUACUGCAUUUUUGAGAUUUAGUUUUAAGUAGUUGAUACUGUUAUGCCCUUGUAAAUGUUUAUGUAAGUUCAGUUUCCAACUGUUUGUUGUAACUAUUUAGAAAUACAGUUGAUUUUUUAAAAUAUUGAUCUUAUGUCCUGCAGCCUCACUAAACUCAUUUAUUAGUCUUAUAGCUUUUUUAGGUUCCAUAGAAUUUUCCACAUAGAUAUUAUGUUUUCGAGAGUAAAGACAGCUUUACUUCUUCUUGUCUAGAGUGGCUUCCUUUUAUAUAUUUUUUCUUGCCUUAUUGUACUUGCUAGAAGCUGUCUAGAGUGGCUUCCUUUUAUAUAUUUUUUCUUGCCUUAUUGUACUUGUUAGAAGCAGUAAAUUGCUAAAUAGAAAUAGUGACAGUGGACAGCCUUGCCUGUACUUGGUCUUAGAGGAAAGAGAGCCAGUCUUUUCCAUUAAGUGUGAUGUUAUCAUUAGGGUUUUCAUAGAUGCCCUUUCGCAAGUUGAGAAGUUCCCUACUUUGCUGAGAGUUGCUUUUUUAAAAAAUCAGAAAUGGAUCUUGAAUUUUGUCAAGUCUGCAUCUAUUGAGCUAUUCUUAUGGUUUUUCUUUUAAGCCUGUUAACAUGGUGAAUUACACUGAUUUUCAAAUAUCAAACUAACCUUGAAAUCUUGAGGUAAAUC